rnacentral:rRNA from 1 species
UACGGGGGGGGCAAGCGUUGUUCGGAAUUACUGGGCGUAAAGGGUUCGUAGGUGGCCAACUAAGUCAGACGUGAAAUCCCUCAGCUUAACUGGGGAACUGCGUCUGAUACUGGUUGGCUUGAGUGCAGGAGAGGAACGCGGAAUUCCAGGUGUAGCGGUGAAAUGCGUAGAGAUGUGGAGGAACACCAGUGGCGAAGGCGACUUUCUGGACGGUAACUGACGCUGAGACGCGAAAGCGUGGGGAGCAAACAGG